CCUACGGGAGACAGCAGUAGGGAAUAUUGCUCAAUGGGGGAAACCCUGAAGCAGCAACGCCGCGUGGAGGAUGAAGGUUUUCGGAUUGUAAACUCCUUUUGUUAGAGAAGACAAUGACGGUAUCUAACGAAUAAGCACCGGCUAACUCCGUGCCAGCAGCCGCGGUAAUACGGAGGGUGCAAGCGUUACUCGGAAGCACUGGGCGUAAAGGGCGCGUAGGCGGGAUAGCAAGUCAGAUGUGAAAUCCUAUGGCUUAACCAUAGAACUGCAUUUGAAACUGUUAGUCUAGAGUAUGGGAGAGGUAGGUGGAAUUCUUGGUGUAGAGGUGAAAUCCGUAGAGAUCAGGAGGAAUACUCAUUGCGAAGGCGACCUGCUAGAACAUAACUGACGCUGAUGCGCGAAAGCGUGGGGAGCAAACAGGAUUAGAUACCCGGGUAGUC
rnacentral:rRNA from 1 species